rnacentral:rRNA from 1 species
CCUACGGGUGGCAGCAGUGAGGAAUAUUGGUCAAUGGGCUUACGCCUGAACCAGCCAAGUCGCGUGAGGGAAGACUGCCCUAUGUGUUGUAAACCUCUUUUGUCAGGGAGCAACGCCGGCUACGUGUACCCGGACUGAGAUUACCUGAAGAAAAAGCAUCGUUUAACUCCUUGCCAGCAGCCGCGUUAAUACGGAGGAUGCGAGGGUUAUCCGGAUUUAUGGGGUUUAAAGGGUGCGUAGGCGGAAUGCCAAGUCAGCGGUAAAAGCGCGGGGCUCAACCUCGCUCCGCCGUUGAAACUGGCAUUCUUGAGUGGGAGAGAAGUAUGCGGAAUGCGUGGUGUAGCGGUGAAAUGCAUAGAUAUCACGCAGAACUCCGAUUGCGAAGGCAGCAUACCGGCGCCCAACUGACGCUGAAGCACGAAAGCGUGGGUAUCGAACAGGAUUAGAUACCCCAGUAGUC